CGAGUGGCGAACGGGUGAAGUAAUAUAUCGGAACGUCGCCCAGUCGGUGGGGGAUAACGUAGCGAAAGCUACGCUAAUACCGCAUACGAUCUAUGGAUGAAAGCGGGGGAUCGCAAGACCUCGCGCGAUUGGAGCGGCCGAUAUCAGAUUAGGUAGUUGGUGAGGUAAAGGCUCACCAAGCCGACGAUCUGUAGCUGGUCUGAGAGGACGACCAGCCACACUGGGACUGAGACACGGCCCAGACUCCUACGGGAGGCAGCAGUGGGGAAUUUUGGACAAUGGGCGCAAGCCUGAUCCAGCAAUGCCGCGUGCAGGAUGAAGGCCUUCGGGUUGUAAACUGCUUUUGUACGGAACGAAACGGUGAGCUCUAAUACAGUUUGCUAAUGACGGUACCGUAAGAAUAAGCACCGGCUAACUACGUG
rnacentral:rRNA from 1 species